rnacentral:lncRNA from 1 species
UUGGACUUGAGAAGUAAAGGAAUCAUAAAAACUAUGAAUUCUUUGUGUGUUGAAGAAUCAAGCCUGGAUGAUAAAUUUGGGAGGAUCCACAGCCCAUUCUACAGCUUGCAUGAUACCCAAGGAUUACAGCAUUUACCAAAGCUGCCUGCCUUCUGGUACUCAUUUUCUAUGGCUGAUCCAUGGCUGGUCACAAACCAUUCUGGUACGCCACAAGUAGAGGACUCCUGAUGUCACAAACUCUCCAAGAAAUAGCUUCCGUGAAGAACUCUGAGUAGCCAGCCUGGGGGCCCCUGAAGUGUCAGUGAUGUGUGACAGACAGCUCCUCUCCUGCUUGGCUCCUGGGGGAAAAGGGCGAUACUGCUGAGCAGGAAGUCCAAGGGGCAAUGUCCCAAACAACAUCAACAUCAUUCUUGCUCAUCAACUAACUAGCAUUUCCUGACAGUGCCCCGCACCCACCGUAUCACUUCUGUUCAUUUUGCCAUUUCUCAUUCCGUGGUUGUCGCAACAGUUGCUCAUAGAAUCAAGGAAAAGUUCAUGUUAUUAAACAAGGCAUUAUUACUCUUCAGUGCCUAUCCAUUGAUCUUAUUAACUACCUAUCAUCUGUCUGUAACU